rnacentral:lncRNA from 1 species
CCACAAAGUAAUAGAAAUUCUCUAAUUUUCCUUCAAAUUGUAUCUGUACUUUCUAUGUUUAUUCAAGAUUUAGCAAUCUAAAUGCGUUUGAAGAAUACGUAUGUAUGUUUGUUGGUUAACACGAAAUUGCUUGCCAACCAAACUAGUGAUAUGUAUAUAUAUUCGCUAACUAGAUGUGUGUAUAUAUGUGCGUAUGUAUAGCGAUUAAACAAUGUAUAACGUGCACUGCAAUUAUUCUUAUUAUUAUUUUUAACACUAGGCUCCCAGUAUAUGUGAUUUUGUUUGUAUUUAUUGAAUUUAAAGGCAAAAAUGAGCAAGUCACAAAGAAAAUAUGAUUAUUAAAAUUAAACUGAUUAAAUUAAUCACCGAGUGAAACUUCUUGCAAUGAUAUGGCGCAAAUUGAAAGCCAACAACAACAAACAAAAACUGCCGUUCUUUAUGAAAAUGGCUGUAGCGCCCACUUAUGUAUGUUAAUAUAUGCGUGUGUGUGUCACUAGAAGCACUUCUGCACUUAAACCUUGAUAUUUUCAAAAAACCUCUCGCGUUUUCAUUUAUUUUAUAUUUUCUUCACUAAACAAUCAUAUCACAAUAAAUUAAGUGCAGUUAAACUGACCCACGUACCUUUCACAAUUUAAACGAAGUUGGUUUCUUUCCUUGUAUGUAGAUACAGAUGCCGGCGGUGUAUAUCUAUGGCUGUAUGCGCAAAUGCCAAGAGUCUUUUAGUGGAGUUUUCCUCGCAGGAUAAGUCUUGCUUUGAAAAAAUGAAUGCUGCUUCCUGGCUCUUGAAACCCUCAGUGGCUGGCAAACAAACUUGGUGUAAUGUACAACUUUGUUAUUUUUGGCGACGAAGGACCAGUGUUAAUCGCCACAACGAUUGGAACCAGUUGUGCCGAUUUUUUUUCCACAAAGAAAGAACACAAAGUGGUAUUAGUAUUUGAUUAAUAUAAAUAGAUUACCUUUGAAUACGCUGUAGUAUGGUGGCUGGAUCACGUCUUCUCUCUUGAAUGCUCGCAAAGGAAGUAAGUGAACAGUUUUUUAUUAUGAUGGCGGUAGCCUGCCAAGAUGUUGUCAAGUAGUACUAUUCCAAUAACGGAAACCAAUAGCAAGCGAGGGGAAAGUUAACAGCGGCAAUGUUAACGCAAUGUUAAACAUUAGGGGUGUCAUUUUCUAAUCUAUUUAGGCGGAGGCCUAAACAACAUUGUUGUUAUUAGUUAUACUAAUACUAAAUUCUUUUAAUUUAUUUUCAUCAAAUUUAUCAUCGGUGCGAACGUGCAACCAAAUCUUGCUCCAAGCGUUGCGCCGAUGACUAUGGGACCCAAAAGUAACGUACCUAUGUUUUACAAAACUGCCGGAGGUGACACUUUCGCUGUGGGAACAAUCGGUUCCAAACGCUUGAAUCGGUCUCAGGUUUAAGAGGAAUCACUGCUUUGAAACCCUCAAAGGCUCCGAACUAUAAGCAUACCUCUGAACUUUCGCAUAAGAGACUUGGCGCUUUUCAAACAAGUGUCGUUAAAUAUAUGUGCAAAAUGUGCCAGUGUAACGAACACAAGGUGCAUCUAUGUCCAAGGUUCCGCAAAUUAACCGUAGACGACAGAGUUGCUUUCGAAAAAAACAAUAAUUGUUGUGUGAACUGCCUCGCCUUUAGACAUUUGGUAUCGAAAUGCACUAGUUCGUUCAAUUGCGCCACCUGCCAUUCUCGACAUCACUCACUCCUACACGUUCAAACAGCACCUCCAAAGGCAACAAAUUGGAAUGAGAUUUCUGAACCUUUGGAUACUUCAGCGUCCACGUCCGGACAGGCUUAAAUGCGACGCGAAUCUACAAAAGGCAAAAGCAAAACUGUUAAUAAGGUAAAAACAUCCCGCUAACCAGAGCUGUGUAAGUGUGAAAUCAUUUUCAAUUUUAAAUCAACAAUUUUUUUCUAUAAA